GACGAACGCUGGCGGCGUGCCUAAUACAUGCAAGUCGAACGGGGAACACAGACGGAAGUUUUCGGAUGGAAGGAAGUGUUCUUAGUGGCGGACGGGUGAGUAACGCGUGAGCAAUCUGCCCAUAAGAGGGGGAUAACAGUUAGAAAUGACUGCUAAUACCGCAUAAGACCACACUACCGCAUGGUAGAGGGGUCAAAGAUUUAUCGCUUAUGGAGGAGCUCGCGUCCCAUUAGGUAGUUGGUAGGGUAACAGCCUACCAAGCCUGCGAUGGGUAGCCGGCCUGAGAGGGUGAACGGCCACACUGGAACUGAGAGACGGUCCAGACUCCUACGGGAGGCAGCAGUAGGGAAUAUUGGGCAAUGGGGGAAACCCUGACCCAGCAACGCCGCGUGAGGGAAGAAGGCCUAACGGUUGUAAACCUCUGUCAUAUGGGAAGAAGGAAUGACAGUACCAUAUGAGGAAGCUCCGGCUAACUACGUGCCAGCAGCCGCGGUAAUACGUAGCGUGC
rnacentral:rRNA from 1 species